AACAUUGGACAAUGGGCGAAAGCCUGACCCAGCCAUGCCGCGCGUGUGAAGAACGUCUCUGGAUUGUAAAGCACUUUAAGUUGGGAGGAAGGGUUGUCGGUUAAUACCCUGCAAUUUUGACGUUACCAACAGAAUAAGCACCGGCUAACUUCUUGCAAGCAGCCGCGGUAAUACGAAGGGUGCAAGCGUUAAUCGGAAUUACUGGGCGUAAAGCGCGCGUAGGUGGUUCGUUAAGUUGGAAGUGAAAGCCCCGGGCUUAACCUGGGAAUUGCUUUCAAAACUGACGAGCUAGAGUACGGUAGAGGGUAGUGGAAUUUCCUGUGUAGCGGUGAAAUGCGUAGGUAUAGGAAAGAACAUCAGUGGCGAAGGCGACUACCUGGACUGAUACUGACACUGAGGUGCGAAAGCGUGGGGAGCAAACAGG
rnacentral:rRNA from 1 species